rnacentral:rRNA from 1 species
AACGAACGCUGGCGGCGUGCCUAACACAUGCAAGUCGAACGAGACCUUCGGGUCUAGUGGCGCACGGGUGCGUAACGCGUGGGAACCUGCCCUUAGGUUCGGAAUAACUCCCCGAAAGGGGUGCUAAUACCGGAUAAUGUCUUCGGACCAAAGAUUUAUCGCCUUUGGAUGGGCCCGCGUUGGAUUAGCUAGUUGGUAGGGGAAAAGCCUACCAAGGCGACGAUCCAUAGCUGGUCUGAGAGGAUGAUCAGCCACACUGGGACUGAGACACGGCCCCGACUCCUACGGGAGGCAGCAGUGGGGAAUAUUGGACAAUGGGCGAAAGCCUGAUCGAGCAAUGCCGCGUGAGUGAUGAAGGCCUUAGGGUUGUAAAGCGCUUUUACACGGGAUGAUAAUGACAGUACCGUGAGAAUAAGCUCCGGCUAACUCCGUG